rnacentral:misc_RNA from 1 species
UCUAACAAUAUUUCCCUCCAACCUGAUCCUUAUCCAUUACUCUCAACUACUUAUUCCUCCUCCUUCUCCUAUAAUAUGUAACAAUACCCUCCCCAAGAGAAUCUUCUUGUCCCCAAGAAGAUGAAAAUUCUGGAAAUUGAGCCAAAAGAAAAGAUUGAUCUUCCCAAGUUGCUUCUUCAGCUGGAAGAUGAAGCCACUUAAUAAGGCCUUGGAGAAUCUUUUGAUUGUCCCAGGUCACCACUCUAGUCCUCAACACUUUCUCAGGGGCUAUGAGUACUGUAUCAUCCUAAAAAAUUGGCAGGUCCCGUACUACUACUGCAUCAUUGCCCACUUUCCUUUUUAGUAAGGAAACAUGAAAAACAGGAUGGAUGGAGGCAUUGUCAGGCAAUUUCAGCUUGCAAGCUACUGCUCAAAUCUUUGCCACAAACUGAUAUGGGCCAAAAAAUCUUGCUGACAGCUUAAAAUUCUCCUUAUGGCCAAGGAAGUUUGCCUGAAAGGCUACAACUUGAGAUAUACCCAAUCCCCAACUUCAAAUUCCCUCUCAGAUCUCCCCUUAUUAGCAUAUUGUUUCAUUCUGUUCUAGGCCAGCACUAAAUUCUCUCUAAUGAGCUGAGACAACUGCUACCUUUCUUGCAAAAACUCUACAACAGAACCCACUGACACUUCAUUUGUUGGAAACAUGGCUAAAGAAGCAGGCUGGCAGCCAUAUAAAGCUUGGAAAGGGGACAUUUUCAACCCACUGUGGUGGCUAGUAUUAUACCACCACUCAGCUAGAGAAAGCCACUUGCACCAAGAAGAUGAUUUCUCAAAACACAAACACCUUAGAUACCCUUCCAAACUUUGAUUCAACCUCUCACUUUGACCAUCUGUCUGAGGGUGGUAGGCAGUAGAAUAAAGAGAGGGUACAUCCAAGCACUUUGAACAGCUCCUUCCAAAAAGAGUUGGGAAAAAUGUUGUCCCAAAAUUAUAUCUUUGCCUUUUGACUUGGGAAGCUGCUCCACAAAAUCCAUUGUAAUAUGCUGCCAUGCUUGUGAUGGCUUAGGGAGUGGUUGUAGCAAUCCUGGAGAAGCACAAUGCUCUACUUUACACCUUGCACACACAUCACAACUUCUAACCCAAUCCAUCACACUCUUCAUCAUUCCAGGCCAACGAAAGUGCCUAUGCAGCCUGACAUAGGUCCCAUUAAUUCCUGAAUGCCCUCCUAAACAGGAAUUAUGAUACAAGGCUAACAAAUAAUUCCUGAGGGUGCCUGUGCUGCCAAUAUACAAUUUGCCUUUGUAAAAGAGCAACCCAUCUUUAUAUGAAUACCCAGGAUGAGCUAUCUCAGCAAUAGAGCAGCAGGGAUCAAUAGAAUUGCAUGAUUAUGUGACCUGAAAGGAGGUAAAGACUUGGGAUCUUCAAAUACCCCUUUACACUUAUGUAAUAACAACUGCAAAUCUAGAGAAGAGGCUGCUGAAGACAGAAAAGAAUACCCAGCACCACCUGUUCCUUGCUCCAAUUGAAUACAAAAUAAUGGAGUCUGAAAAUCCUCUCCACUCUUAUGCAUUAACUGGUUAUAGCUAAGACAGUGUAGCACCUUAGACUUAAUGGCCACAUCCCCAAUACCCUUCAAUGAAAUAGGCUUUCCCUCAUAUUGGAAACUGAUUGUAGAAUGCUGGAAGUCAAAAAAAAUGGGAUUGAAAGUCUUUAACCAAUCCACUCCUAAUA